GCUCCUGUAGUUCAAUGGAUAGAAUUAUGGUUUCCGGUACCGUCGAUAGGGGUUCGAAUCCCUUCAGGAGCA
rnacentral:tRNA from 1 species